rnacentral:rRNA from 1 species
CACGUAGGGGGCAAGCGUUGUCCGGAUUUAUUGGGCGUAAAGACCUCGUAGGCGGUUCGGUAAGUUGGGUGUGAAACCUCCAGGCUCAACCUGGAGACGCCACCCGAUACUGCUGUGACUAGAGUCCGGUAGGGGAGCGUGGAAUUCCUGGUGUAGCGGUGAAAUGCGCAGAUAUCAGGAGGAACACCAGCGGCGAAGGCGGCGCUCUGGGCCGGAACUGACGCUGAGGAGCGAAAGCGUGGGUAGCAAACAGG